rnacentral:rRNA from 1 species
UACGUAGGGGGCAAGCGUUAUCCGGAUUUACUGGGUGUAAAGGGAGCGUAGACGGAUGGACAAGUCUGAUGUGAAAGACUGGGGCUCAACCCCGGGACUGCAUUGGAAACUGCCCGUCUUGAGUGCCGGAGAGGUAAGCGGAAUUCCUAGUGUAGCGGUGAAAUGCGUAGAUAUUAGGAGGAACACCAGUGGCGAAGGCGGCUUACUGGACGGUAACUGACGUUGAGGCUCGAAAGCGUGGGUAGCAAACAGG